CUCAGGGACUGUCAACUGCUGGGAAGGGUUUAUUUUCGGUUAUUGUUCGGUGUCUAGUUCCCACGUGAGAAAGUUAAGUUUGACAAGGCAGGGGUCCCGUUUGUCUUGUCUGCUACUGGAUUUGUGAUACCCACAGUAGGGCUGGCACCGAGAAUGGCUCUUAGCGACAGCCUGGCUGGGGCACGAGAACCAGUACGAAUUUUGGAGUCCAACUAUGGGUUUGUAGCCGAGCUGCCCCUCGGAUUUGCAGGGACUAUCCUGAGACCUCAGGUUCUACCUAUAACAUGGGAGUAACAGCGCCUGCCCCUACAGGGUUUUUAAUUAGGACUGAAUGAGCUAAUAAAUAUAAAGUUCUCAGUUCAGCGUCUGAUACACAGACGUGCUCACUGGGGUAAGUCAUGUCAUCAUGAUGUUGGGAAGAAAGAAAUCUAAUUAUAACUGGACGACAGGGCACGAGACAGUCUGGGAUGUCAUUUGCAGAGAUACUUCCAGCAACACAAAUCCCACACACGUAUGCCAGCAAGUGGGUAUGGAGUUCUAGAAUUUUCUUUUCAGUGAAAGUCAGGCAUGAGUCAUGAUUUCUUUUGUUCUUUCCGCCACUGUGACCUCGUCGAUGGGCAGAGGUCCAUGCCACUCAGCUGAGUCUGUCUCUCUUUUCUAGGUGGGACCCGCAACCGCUCGGACACUGUCGGAGGGGCCCCCCACAGCAAGCCUGGGGUGGGGAACUGGAACCUCGAGGCCAUCAUGCCAUUCAAGUUCAAGGGCGGCGCGGACUCGCGGCUUCUCUCCAGCACCCUGGGAAGAAGACCUGGACUUGAUAGAUGCUUUCAAUAAGAGCCUUAAAUAACGAUCAUACUGUGCAAGGAGGCAUCUUUCAUUCUGGAUCAGCCUUAGGUACACGCUAGGAUCUUCGGCACGGUGUUAAGCAGAGGUAAAAUCUACGACAACUGGUCUUGCCAACAGUGGAUAUCACGAUCGGGCUGAUUUUGCUGUGUAGCGGUGACACUGAACAGCGGUUAUGCCACAAAUCAGCAAGUCUCACGACGAUAAUCCGACCCUAGAGUGACGCCAGGCCACCUGGACAAGUGCCCUCAGGCUUCAGAGAGGGCAAAGGAUGCCUCGCCACAGCUUCUUGCCAGCAAGUGC